rnacentral:rRNA from 1 species
UACGUAGGGUGCAAGCGUUAUUCGGAAUUACUGGGCGUAAAGCGUGCGCAGGCGGUUAUGUAAGUCAGUUGUGAAAUCCCCGGGCUCAACCUGGGAACUGCAUCUGUGACUGCAUCGCUGGAGUGCGGCAGAGGGGGAUGGAAUUCCGCGUGUAGCAGUGAAAUGCGUAGAUAUGCGGAGGAACACCGAUGGCGAAGGCAAUCCCCUGGGCCUGCACUGACGCUCAGGCACGAAAGCGUGGGGAGCAAACAGG